UGUGUGAUGCAUCAGAUUACGC
rnacentral:siRNA from 1 species